CCUACGGGAGGCAGCAGUGGGGAAUAUUGCGCAAUGGGCGAAAGCCUGACGCAGCGACGCCGCGUGAGGGAUGAAGGUCUUCUGAUCGUAAACCUCUGUCAGCAGGGAAGAACGGUCACUGUGCUAAUCAGCAGUGAAUUGACGGUACCUGCAAAGGAAGCACCGGCUAACUCCGUGCCAGCAGCCGCGGUAAUACGGAGGGUGCGAGCGUUAAUCGGAAUUACUGGGCGUAAAGCGCUCGUAGGCGGUAUGUCAAGUCAAGGGUGAAAUCCCCGCGCUCAACGUGGGAACUGCCUUUGAAACUGGCAAACUGGAGUGUGUGAGAGGAUAGUGGAAUUCCAGGUGUAGGAGUGAAAUGCGUAGAUAUCGGGAGGAACACCAGUGGCGAAGGCGACUAUCUGGCACAUAACUGACGCUGAGGAGCGAAAGCGUGGGUAGCAAACAGGAUUAGAUACCCCUGUAGUC
rnacentral:rRNA from 1 species